GGUACGAUAACGUAUAUCUUGACCGGUGUAGAAGCGAUCAGUUGUUUGUGCUUAAAAACUGUGUCUUUUGGUAUAACGUCUGUGUAACGUUACACGAUUGUUUGUUAUAAAUAUCAGUGCUGAUGAUGUGUUACCAGUGCUGCUGACUGUGAUAUAGGCCUGUGUAUUAAGCCUAUUGUGACCGGGUGUUUGUGAGUCACCCCUGCCUAUGGAAAGUGUGAAUCCAGGCUAAAUUCUACACGUGGUUGCGUGGCCGUGGUAAGCGAGUGUGUCGCCCACAGCACAGAAGUGAUUAAUUUUCACUACUGGGUAUUAGGUCGAAGAUUACCUAAGAAGCGCAAAGCCGCAUCUUUGUUUGUUCGUUUAAGGGAGAGUCAGUCAGUGACGCCCCGGGCCCAGGGUUGAGAGACGGAGUUUCUUUCACGUGGGUAGUCUGUCUCUGUUUCAGGUCGUGAGAGAGCGUGUGUGUCGCACUCCCGACAAGUUUGUGGACAUUAUUGAAUUUUACGUUUAAUAUUGGCCUCUUAGUCUUUAUUGUUUCGUGUUGGUUGUCUUUAGUAACCUAUUAGCCAGUAACGUGCGUUUAUACAGAGAGACGUAACUUAUUACCAACAAAGUAUAAUUCGCGAGCAAAAAUGGCCCCAAACAAGGAGAAUGCAAACGGGAGUAUAACCACAUAUCUGCAGCAAAAGUAUGUAAAGCAAGCAAAGGCGAUGAGUAAAAAUGGCUGGGACCCCGAAGGAUCCACGCCGGAUUCCUUAGAAUGGUGGGGGAAACAAAAAAAGAAUAGGACGGCUUACGGUACCAUUGUACUAAUUACGGAGCAUAUGAGGCUCAUAGAGAAGUGUGACGAAAUGUAUAAUCGGCUACAAGCACAAGAUACGAAAUUAGCUGGUCUGCGUAAGAAGAUAGAAUCUCUUGAGAACAAAGGCAACAGCUCUGACCAGAGCACAGCGCUUGCGUGCAUUCCGACUGAAAUAAAAGGUGUUCCAUCUUUGUACCCAGAUUUAAAUUGUCACACUAUAACUGACCCACUGUAUUUUGAAAAGGAGAAUAAGACGGUGCCCAUGGCACCUAUGGUUACUAAAAUUCGCGGUAGAGGAAAUGAACAACGACUGCAUGUUGAUCACGUUCCUUUAAGCCUGAUCGAAAUGAGAGCUUUAUUAAAGGAUUUGCCGAAUCUUAAUGCGCAAGACGACAAUUUACCGUUUUGGCGACAACUAAAUGAGCUACAGCGUAGCAUGUCUCUACACCCUCUAGACAUGUUUUCAGUUGUGCGUGCAAAAUGUCCAGUUUCAAGCUGGAACAAAAUUGAACCAGCUGAUCUCCGACAGGAACCAUGGCCAUCUGGCCCCUGGGCGAAUCAUAAUGAAUUACAAAACGCGAUUACCGGUUUCUGCGAGGCUGUAAAGACUGCUUUAGGUAAAGGUGCGCCAAAAUGGCAUUGUUUCACGGCAGUAGUACAAAAUAGCUUGCCCUUUGCUGAAUACGCCGAUCGGAAGUAUGAAGCAUUUGAAACGCAUUGUGGCUUCCCUAAUCCAAAUAGAGACAUGGCUGUUUUUACGCAACAAUUACUGGCAGAGGCUGCCCCGCAUAUUCAGAAGGUACUAGCAAUCGGCAUACACCCGGGUAAUACGUUUAGUGACAUUGUUUCGUGGGCCUCGCGAUUAGAGGAACAGAUACGGAAGAAGAGUUCAACUUUACAUCCCAUUGCUGCUGUUCGCUACAACUCUCUGAAGUGCGAUAAUUGUGGGAAAACGGGCCAUAGCACGGAUCGAUGCAAAGGGAGGGACUAUAGGAGAAGUAGGCGUAACACCCCCCCAAACAAAGAAGCAGAUAAAUGCUUUCGAUGUGGAGAACAGGGACAUCGAGCGCCACAAUGUUUAGCUGCCCUACCUAAGGCGCACGCCUCCAGUGGAGAAUACGCAACCUCAGACAAAGAAGCUGGGCCUAUCGCGCACUGCUCCAAUGACGAUUACGCGCAUUUGAACCGAGAACAACUUGUCGCCAUGUUAAACAGUUUGAAAGCAUAGGAAUUACCGGCCUCCUUUUCAGUCAGUAGUAUAGAAACUCAGGAUCAUUGCAGACCGUAUCUUAGUGCGUGGGUAGGAGGCCGGCCAUGCGAUAUGCUAAUUGAUACUGGCGCUUCUGUUUCUAUCACUGACCUACCGCUCCCUUGUACAAAGCAUUCCAUUGAUCUUGCUGGCAUUGGGGGUAAUUCUGUCCACGCAUAUAAAUCCUUUCCAGUACUUGUGGAAUCCAAUAAUGCUUAUUGGACACAAUCAUUUUUCAUUUGUAGGACUGCAGAAGGUACCAUCCUCGGUUCUGACGGCAUGAGAUUACUGAAAGCUAUUGUUGCAUACUCGCCUAUGGCUUUAUCAGUUUGUGACGCUUCUCAUAAACGCAAGACAUUGCCAUUAGCUGCUCUUUCCCAUACUGCUAUAGCAUCUGUUGCAACACCUAUUGUCCAUUCCUGGGAUUUGACUAACAAGUUCCAAGCUUUAUGUGCAACAUUCCCUGCAUGCUGGUCUGUGCACAAACUGGAUUGUGGAGCUGCACCAUUACCACCACUUGAGACUCUGAAAGAUAAACAAAAGGAGGGGGGGCAAGAAUCGCAGACAUAUGAACCUGGACAAUGGGUUAUGAUAAGAGCCCCUCAUCCUAGAUCUUUCCAACCUCGAUGGCAAGGACCACACCAGGUCUUACUAACCUCUGAGACUGCUCUUCGAGUUACAGGCAUCCCGGUCUGGAUCCACCAAUCCCGGACCAAACCAUGCCCAUCACCCGAAGACCUCAAAAAGCCUGAAGAACUCCCUGCCACGGACGACUGCAGCCUUCACGAAUCAGGUGCAAACGUUCCAAUUUUUUUCACAUACUCAACCAAAUUGAGCAUUCAAGUUAUGCUCCCCUCCAACAUGCUGAAUUCAUUUGUAAUUAUAAUCACAGUUUUGAGCCAUGGUGGAGUAAGUGCUGUGGACAAUAACAUUUACAUGCAAUUAGUUCACAUGACAGCCAAACAUGCAAAUAAGACUGGCUGCUAUGUCUGUGGAUUAAUACCACAUUCUGUCGCACUUGGUGUUCCAAUGAUGUCCGUACCUAUCGCCUCCAAGUAUAACACUGCAGAUAGCGAUAGCAAAAGUGAACUUGUUACCAGACCUAAACAUAUAUGUGAUCCUGAACCCAUUAACAUUGCUCUGUCUCUUGGCCCAUAUCUGUGGUGCCUCAAACAAAAUGGCUCUAUUUAUGUUGGAGAGACCCUGGACUGCAAUACGGUUAUUAACUACCAUGAUAAACCUGUACAAAACCACACAGCUAUGGGAGUCUAUUGGGUUUGUGGGAACAAUGCCUAUUCUGAGUUGCCUAAUUCAUGGUCUGGUAUCUGCGCCUUAGGACAUUUGGUCCCGGCCAUGAGAAUUACAUCUAUUCUACCGGACCGAGUCAGAUAUGAAAGAUCAACUGACGUCUUUGGAACUCACCAUCAGUCUGUUUGGAACAGAGCACUUGGUGCUCUCAUUCCUACUUAUGGGGUUAUGUCCGCUCUAGAUCAAAUUGGCGACCUCUCCAAAGAGGUAGAGCUUUUGGCCAAUAGCACGGCAUUAGGUCUAGGCAAAAUUUCAGAGGAAUUGACAGCUGUCAGAGUGAUGGCUCUACAGAACAGAGCUGCAUUAGAUUAUAUCCUCUCAGCUCAGGGUGGGACAUGUAAAAUAAUUGGCAUCGAAUGCUGUUCCUAUAUUCCCGAUAAUCAGGAUGACCUGAAACGUGUGAUCUCAAAAAUCAAUAAUGUUUCCCGGUCCGCACAUGAAAUAUCACCUACAACACCUGGUUUUCUUGAAUGGUUAUCGAGCUAUUUGGGUGACCUUGGCAAAAUUGUAGUUGAAUACAUUUUUCUGAUUAUACUGGGAUUAACUGUACUGGCAUUGAUAAUUAAAGGUGUGAAAUUAAUUUUCGUACAGUUAAUCUGUGGUAAAACUAAUGAGCAAACCACACAAGUUGUUCACUAUACAAAGACUCCGACAGCAUACAUAAUAUAGAACCAAGUUGUAAUAACUUGGGAGUACUUGAUAAUGCCCUCACAUGGUAUUCUGUUUUCUUCCUCAUAUGCCGGAGAGGACACUCCCAUGACACCAUACCGGCGCCGAGGACACCACCCCUCCAAGACCAUGUUGCUGCUAACCAGGAGUAAAUUGCAAGAAAUCCCACCAAGCCUUGAAUCGAGCCUUCCCUACCAAACCAAUGUCACUAUCCAUCCAGCCAGCAACAGAAGGACUUUUUUCUUUACAAGUUAUGUUCUUGGAGUACAUCUCGUUCGCCCGUAAGGGGGACGUGAGGGAAUUUUGCCUGAAGUUUUCCUAACACAGGUUUUUGACAGGUUUUCGCCCUCACCCUGAACAAUGACUAAAUAAAUGUAACUGUAAAAUUGACUUAACCAUGAGAUUCAUGUUGUGUCAAAAGGAGGGACUGUUAGGAUACAGAAAGUUUGUGCUGUAGGAGACAGACAGAUUUGUGUAUUCCAAAACCUCACGUGCAUGUGAGAGUCCGCCAUUGUUUUACAAAGACAACCAAUAAGACACAGUGGUAGAAAUUGCAACCUAUAGGGCAACUCUGUAUAACAAACAACCAAUCAGAGUUCAUGCUGUAUUCUGCGCACAAAUUUGAAUAUAUGUAAAUGUAACUGUAUAAACUCCACAAACUCGAACAGUUGAAUUGAACAUUUUUGUGUGAAUCCCUGUUGCUGGCUUUCUGUAUAAUAAAUGCUUCCUGAUUUUUAAA